AUUGAACGCUGGCGGCAGGCCUAACACAUGCAAGUCGAGCGGAUGAAGGGAGCUUGCUCCUGGAUUCAGCGGCGGACGGGUGAGUAAUGCCUAGGAAUCUGCCUGGUAGUGGGGGAUAACGUCCGGAAACGGGCGCUAAUACCGCAUACGUCCUGAGAGAGAAAGUGGGGGAUCUUCGGACCUCACGCUAUCAGAUGAGCCUAGGUCGGAUUAGCUAGUUGGUGGGGUAAAGGCCUACCAAGGCGACGAUCGGUAACUGGUCUGAGAGGAUGAUCAGUCACACUGGAAAUAAGGAAGGGUCGAGACGCCUAGGGGAAGGAAAAGGGGGUAAGAUGGGAAUAUGGACGAAAGCCAAGAACAAACAAGCCGAGAGUGUGAAAGAGGUCUUCGGAUUGUAAAACACUUUAAGUUGGGAGGAAAGGCAGAAAGUUAAUACCUAGAUUUUUUAGAGUUAAAAACAGAAGAAGCACCGGCUAACUAGGU
rnacentral:rRNA from 1 species